UAUUGUAUCCGUAAUAGUGCUAUGUAGUUGAACUACGGGGUCCACUUCUCUUCCUUGUUAUUGGUUUUUUCGCCAUCUUGGAUGCAAUAACAAGUGUACACGGUGUGUCGUUGUUCCGCUUAAUUUCAGAUUUCUAAGAAUUUCACGAGCUACAAUAGAAAAGCAACGAAUAUAUCAGUUAUACAUCUCUUCGUAUACGUACGGAUUAUCAUUACAAUUGUAUGCGAAAUGAUGAAUAAAUCAAGUGUUAUAUCGUUUAAAUAAAAAAAAAAAUCGCGAAGUAGAAGCAGUG